rnacentral:lncRNA from 1 species
CUCUCACUUUGCUGCUCAGUCUGUCUUUUCCAGGUCCACAUCCUCUGCCCGUGACUCCUUACUAGAGCUGAGCUCCCAGGGGGAUUCACCAACUGAAAUUCUCCUGGGCCAGCAAGAGCACACUGAGCCCACUGAGGCCGAGCCCAAGGCUGCAGGGCCAGCUCCAGCCCAAGCUGAAGUCCCACCUGUAGAGCUCGUGCCAGCUCCACCUGCAGCUCCCUCCUCAGCCUGGGACCACAGCCAGAGCCAGAGCCAGGAACCCCUUCUCCACCAGCUGCACAGCUGUGGACCCUGGUGGUUGCACGGCGGGCAUCAGCUCCUGAGCUGCAGCUGGGCCAAGCUCCUGCCCCACCCCUGCCAUUCCCCUCCAUUACUCUUGUUUAUGUUUUGGCGUGUAUUUUUGCUCCUAUUUUAUCGACUUAUGUAAAUAAUAGAAUUAUUUUUUAAAUAAAAGUUAAGAUUUUAGUCUUGUUUAAAAUGACCAGUGUGGUGGCAUGAAGGGCCUUCUCAGAGCUGCGCCUCAGUCAUUGCUGUCCGGGUCCAGAGCAUUUUCCUCAGUGCUGUGCCUGUGAGUGGUUCCUCCCCUCUCCCCUGUUGCUGGUCCCUGGCCACCACUCAUCUUAUGUCCCUAUUGCACAU